AACGAACGCUGGCGGCGUGCCUAACACAUGCAAGUCGAGCGCGAAGAGGGCAACCUGAGUAGAGCGGCGCACGGGUGCGUAACACGUGGGUAAUCUGCCUUAGAGUCGAGGAUAACCUUCCGAAAGGUUGGCUAAUACUCGGUAAGCUUACGGUGUCUUCGGACGCUGGGGGAAAAGUAGGCCUCUGUUUACAAGCUUACGCUCUGAGAUGAGCCCGCGGCCCAUCAGCUAGUUGGCGGUGUAACGGACCACCAAGGCAACGACGGGUAGCUGGUCUGAGAGGACGAUCAGCCACACUGGAACUGAGACACGGUCCAGACUCCUACGGGAGGCAGCAGUGGGGAAUUUUCCACAAUGGGCGAAAGCCUGAUGGAGCAACGCCGCGUGUGUGAUGAAGGUUUUCGGAUCGUAAAGCACUUUCGACUGGGACGAAAAACCUUUGGCUAACAUCCAGGGGUCUGACGGUACCAGGAGAAGAAGCACCGGCUAACUCUGUGCCAGCCGCCGCGGUAACAC
rnacentral:rRNA from 1 species